rnacentral:rRNA from 1 species
UAUCUCUGUAGAGUCUGCAUAUCAAUAAGCGGAGGAAAAGAAACUAACCUAGGAUUCCCUCAGUAACGGCGAGUGAAGCGGGAAGAGCUCAAAUUUGAAAUCUUCAAGGUUCUACCUUGACGAAUUGUAGUUUAAAGAAGUGUUUUCUGUUGGAGUUUUGGUAAAAGUUCUUUGGAAUAGGACAUCAUAGAGGGUGAGAAUCCCGUAUUUGACCAUUAUUUCCAGCUUUGUGAUACACUUUCAAAGAGUCGGAUUGUUUGGGAAUGCAGUCCAAAAUGGGUGGUAAAUUUCAUCUAAAGCUAAAUAUUGGCGAGAGACCGAUAGCGAACAAGUACCGUGAGGGAAAGAUGAAAAGAACUUUGAAAAGAGAGUUAAACAGUACGUGAAAUUGUCAAAAGGGAAGCGUUUGACACCAGUGUUGUUUUCUCGAAAAUCAAUUAAAAAAGGCAGGAUUUUGUGUUGUAUUGACUCUAUCAGCUUUCUGCACUCUUUUCUUGUCUUUUUUAAUGCACUUUUCGUUUAACAAGUCAACAUCAAUUUCUUUUGUUGUAAAAGGGUCAUUGGAAGGUGGCUUUCUUUUCGGAGAAAGUGUUUAUAGCCUUUGGCCUCUGCAAUCGGAGAGAUUGAGGUCUGCAGCGUAGAUCCUUCGGGGUUAGAUACAUUUGUGCUAAGUUAUAGCCUUUCAUAGACAACUUGUUGACUAUGAUCAGUCAUGUAGCUUACUCGCUUAUGUUAUUUUACCUACGCUUAGGAUGUUGACGAUCAGCUGAGCGCG